GACAGAGGUGCCGAGCGUUAGGCGGAAUCACUGGGCUUAAAGCGUGUGUAGGCGGACGGGUAAGUACCUUGUGAAAUCCCACGGCUCAACCGUGGAACUGCUGGGUAUACUGCCUGUCUUGAGUCAUCUAGGGGCGAGCGGAACAAAUGGUGGAGCGGUGAAAUGCGUAGAUAUCAUUUGGAACGCCAACGGUGAAAACGGCUCGCUGGGGAUGUACUGACGCUGAGACACGAAAGCCAGGGGAGCAAACGGG
rnacentral:rRNA from 1 species